UAUCUCUGUAGAGUCUGCAUAUCAAUAAGCGGAGGAAAAGAAACUAACUAGGAUUCCCUCAGUAACGGCGAGUGAAGUGGGAAGAGCUCAAAUUUGAAAUCUUAAAGGUUUUCCCUUGACGAAUUGUAGUUUAAAGAAGUGUUUUCUGUUGGAGUUUCGGUAAAAGUUCUUUGGAAUAGGACAUCAUAGAGGGUGAGAAUCCCGUAUUUGACCAUUACUUCCAGCGUUGUGAUACACUUUCAAAGAGUCGGAUUAGUUUGGGAAUGCAGUCCAAAAUGGGUGGUAAAUUUCAUCUAAAGCUAAAUAUUGGCGAGAGACCGAUAGCGAACAAGUACCGUGAGGGAAAGAUGAAAAGAACUUUGAAAAGAGAGUUAAACAGUACGUGAAAUUGUCAAAAGGGAAGCGUUUGACACCAGUGUUGUUUUCUCGAAAAUCAAUUAAAAAAAGUUGGAUUUUGUAUUGUUAAGACCUUAUCAGCUUACUGUACUCUUUUCUUGCUUUUUUUAAUGCACUUUUCGUUUAAUAAGUCAACAUCAAUUUCUUUUGUUGUAAAAGAGUCAUUGGAAGGUGGCUUUCACUUCGGUGAAAGUGUUUAUAGCCCUUGGCUUCUGCAAUCGGAGAGAUUGAGGUCUGCAGCGUAGAUCCUUCGGGGCUAGAUACGUAGAUGCUAAGUUAUAGUUUUUUAUAGACGACUUGUUGACUAUAAUUAAUCAUGUAGCUUACUCGUUUGCGCUAUCUUACCUACGCUUAGGAUGUUGAAGAUGUAGCACAUCAU
rnacentral:rRNA from 1 species